rnacentral:rRNA from 1 species
UACGUAGGGGGCUAGCGUUGUCCGGAAUCAUUGGGCGUAAAGCGCGUGUAGGCGGUUCGGUAAGUCCGCUGUGAAAGUCGGGGGCUCAACCCUCGGAUGCCGGUGGAUACUGUCGAGCUUGAGUACGGAAGAGGCGAGUGGAAUUCCUGGUGUAGCGGUGAAAUGCGCAGAUAUCAGGAGGAACACCGAUGGCGAAGGCAGAUCUCUGGGCCGUAACUGACGCUGAGGAGCGAAAGCAUGGGGAGCGAACAGG